AUGAGGAAUGAGAAUGAUGUACUGUGAAAAAGACAACUGAGACAGCAGAAACAGCAUAAGAGAACAACAGAGGCAUCUACUUUUAACUGUAAGACUGUUUUUUACAGAGCAAAAUACAGGGAGGCAAAGAAGGAGGAUGAAUUUAGUAUGUGAACUAUAUGAAAAAA